UACGGAGGGUGCAAGCGUUAUCCGGAUUCACUGGGUUUAAAGGGUGCGUAGGUGGGCUGGUAAGUCCGUGGUGAAAUCUCCAAGCUUAACUUGGAAACUGCCGUGGAUACUAUUAGUCUUGAAUCUCGUGGAGGUAAGCGGAAUAUGUCAUGUAGCGGUGAAAUGCUUAGAUAUGACAUAGAACACCGAUAGCGAAGGCAGCUUGCUACACGAGUAUUGACACUGAGGCACGAAAGCGUGGGGAU
rnacentral:rRNA from 1 species